rnacentral:misc_RNA from 1 species
UUGAUUUGUUGCGAGCAUGCUCGUGAACCGUCCUACAAACGACAAACAUGCACCGCAAGCCGAGCAUGUGCGCGCAUAUGUUCGUCGUGUGCAGCCACUGUUAGGGACCAAAUUGCAAUUUGAGAGCAUCAGGGGAAAAAAUACACAAGAUUCAAAACUACAUUUACUCGUUACAAGCCCAUGCUGCCAUAGCAAUGAAAAUAUUUAAAGAAAUAACUUAAUAAUAAGAUCUGGCAUCACCUAAUCUAUCUGGUUGCUAGGAAACGGAAGUGCGCCACAAUAGCCGGUAAGCGAAAAUUACGCUUUCACAAGUUAUCGCAUAAUUUUCGGGCAUAAAGAAUUUGUUAGCAUCAUAAAAAUACCUAUAAGAUGUCGAAAGGCGUUAUUUGCUUUGAUAUAUCCAAAAAUGAACGUUUUCAAUUGUCGGAUAACUAUAAAAUGCUGCACCGCAAACUGAAAAUUCAUUGGAAAGUUGAGCAAAACGAUGUGGAGUUGAAGAAGGAAAAGCUACAACGUGUUACUAUUUUUGUGUUGGCCGGACCACAAGAUCGCUUUACCGAAGAAGAAUUUCAGGUGCUGAAAGAAUUUGUGGAAAAGGGUGGUCGGCUGUGGGUGAUGCUCGGCGAAGGUGGCGAACAGGAAUACAAUACAAAUGUUAAUUUCUUUUUGGAACAAUACGGCAUUUACAUUAAUAAUGAUACUGUUGUUCGGCCGCACUACUACAAGAACUUUCAUCCGAAGGAGUGCAUUAUCGGCGGCGGCGUAGUUUGUGAGUCCAUGUGGCGCCAUCUGAUCAAGCAAGAUGUGGAAAUUGUUGAUUUUGAUUUUAGCGAUGAGAAGCAUAAAAUACAUUUUCAAUAUCCAUAUGGCGCGACUUUAAAUGUUUCUGAGCCAGCGAACAUAUUGCUCAGCACGGGUCCUGUCGUUUAUCCCUUCAAUAGACCCUUGGCUGGCUACUACACCAAUGAGCGUGGCGGCAAGAUAUUGGCUAUUGGUUCGGGCUACAUGUGGCAUGACAAAUAUUUGUCAAACGAUAAGACGAACGACGCACUUCUGGAAUGUUUUGUACAACUUUUGGGCGGCAAUGAGAUACAGUAUACGCAUUUGGAUUUUAAUGAUGUGGAGAUAAACGACAACAAGACCUUCACUGACAUCGCAUUCAUAGCUAAUCGCCCAAAAGCGUGUCUUGUUGACUCAAUUGGUGGCACACAAACACCAGCAGAUUUUAAGCAAAUGUUCGACAUGACCCUCUACUCGCUGAGUAAUCGCCUGCUGAAGGAUGUAAUGGAAACUUAUGAACAAUUAAAUGUCAAGUAUGAGCCAUUAAAAAUAAUUAAACCACAAUUUGAGAUACCGUUACCGCCGUUGCAACUUGCCACAUUUCCGCCAAUCUUCAGCGAACCACCUGCGCCGCCACUCGAACUUUACGAUUUGGAUGAUGUAUUCAGCGCAGCACGCACACAACUCGCGCAAAUGACUAGCAAAUGUGUGCAAUCCAUAACUGCGAAGGAUGCACACAAGCCGCUGAAUAUGCGUGAAUUAGAAAAUUAUAUCAAAGAAUGCGCGCGCAUCACGGGCAUCAUACACGAGCAUCAAGAUGUUGCAGCACGUGAGAUACUAUAUAUACUUGCGCAUCAGAUUAUUAGCUAUAAGCCAUAUGCAGAUGAGUAAGCCGAGCAGAAGAGGAAAAUGCAGGAAGAGCAGUUUUUUUCCAUUGCUUGCACUGUGUGAAUCAAACUCAUAUUCAGCCUGUUAAGCGCUCCAUUUGAAACCCAAACAAAUUCCAACAGCAAUGCUUACAUUUUAAUUUUUUGCACCUAAAUCAAGGAGUUGGCACUUUUUUCGUUGAUUUUUUGGCUUAUUAAGUGUACCUACAGCUAUGAAGCUGCUCCAUAACAUGCGCGCACAUCCAUACAUAUAGAAAGCCAUGAAACCGCAAGAUCAGCAAGCAUAUCAAAAGUGGAA